rnacentral:rRNA from 1 species
UAUUAAGGCAAUGUAGAAAUUUCAUUUUAGUUCUUUUUGAUCAAAACAUUGUUAAAUUUAGUAAAGGAGAUUAAAAAUUAUUAAAUAUUCUUAAAUUCCAAGUACUGUGAAGGAAUGGCCUUAAUUGAAAGAAAGAAAAAAUUAGAUCUU